rnacentral:rRNA from 1 species
AUGGCCGUCGGUGGUGCUGGUGCAAGUGACGACCUGAAGUCGUCGUGGCCGGAGGUGGUGGGCUGGGACGGUUUCACGGCGUCGCUCAAGAUCAAAGCCGACAGGAUGGAUGUUUAUAUAGAGUUGCACACCGUCGGCGAUGCCGUGGCGCCGGGCGAGGACGACCACCGCGUCCGCCUCUUUGGCGACCGUGUCACCGGCCUGGUCGCCCAGACGCCUGUGGUCGGCUAG